rnacentral:rRNA from 1 species
UACGUAGGGUGCAAGCGUUAAUCGGAAUACUGGCGUAAAGCGUGACGCAGGCGGUGAUGUAAGACAGUUGUGAAAUCCCCGGGCUCAACCUGGGAACUGCAUCUGUGACUGCAUCGCUGGAGUGCGGCAGAGGGGGAUGGAAUUCCGCGUGUAGCAGUGAAAUGCGUAGAUAUGCGGAGGAACACCGAUGGCGAAGGCAAU